rnacentral:rRNA from 1 species
UGGGCAACCUGCCCCAGACACAGGGAUAACCCCGGGAAACCGGGGCUAAUACCGGAUACUCCGGUCGAACCGCAUGGCUCGAUCGGGAAAGCUCCGACGGUCUGGGAUGGGCCCGCGGCCUAUCAGCUUGUUGGUGGGGUAACGGCUCACCAAGGCAACGACGGGUAGCUGGUCUGAGAGGAUGGCCAGCCACAUUGGGACUUAGACACGGCCCAGACUCCUACGGGAG